AUUGAACGCUGGCGGCAUGCUUUACACAUGCAAGUCGAACGGCAGCGCGGGCUUCGGCCUGGCGGCGAGUGGCGAACGGGUGAGUAAUACAUCGGAACGUGCCCAGUAGUGGGGGAUAGCUCGGCGAAAGCCGGAUUAAUACCGCAUACGAUCUGAGGGUGAAAGCGGGGGAUCUUCGGACCUCGCGCUAUUGGAGCGGCCGAUGGCAGAUUAGCUAGUUGGUGGGGUAAAGGCCUACCAAGGCGACGAUCUGUAGCUGGUCUGAGAGGACGACCAGCCACACUGGAACUGGGACACGGCCCAGACUCCUGCGGGAGGCAGCAGUGGGGAAUUUUGGGCAAUGGGCGAAAGCCUGAUCCAGCGAUGCCGCGUGUGUGAUGAAGGCCUUCGGGUUGUAAAGCACUUUUGGCGGGAACGAAAAGGACUGUGCCAAUACCACGGUUCGAUGACGGUACCCGCAGAAUAAGCACCGGCUAACUACGUG
rnacentral:rRNA from 1 species